GACGAACGCUGGCGGCGUGCCUAAUACAUGCAAGUAGAACGCUGAAGCUUGGUGCUUGCACCGAGCGGAUGAGUUGCGAACGGGUGAGUAACGCGUAGGUAACCUGCCUGGUAGCGGGGGAUAACUAUUGGAAACGAUAGCUAAUACCGCAUAAGAGUAGAUGUUGCAUGACAUUUGCUUAAAAGGUGCAAUUGCAUCACUACCAGAUGGACCUGCGUUGUAUUAGCUAGUUGGUGAGGUAACGGCUCACCAAGGCAACGAUACAUAGCCGACCUGAGAGGGUGAUCGGCCACACUGGGACUGAGACACGGCCCAGACUCCUACGGGAGGCAGCAGUAGGGAAUCUUCGGCAAUGGACGGAAGUCUGACCGAGCAACGCCGCGUGAGUGAAGAAGGUUUUCGGAUCGUAAAGCUCUGUUGUAAGAGAAGAACGAGUGUGAGAGUGGAAAGUUCACACUGUGACGGUAUCUACCAGAAAGGGACGGCUAACUACGUG
rnacentral:rRNA from 1 species